AUCUGAGCUAACACAACAAAGCCAAAGCAUGGUUUUAUCUAUCACUGGGCUUCUGAACAGUUGGAAAUUCCUUUGAAUAAGGAGUGUACGUGUACAUAAAAUACCCUCUAGAGGUUCUAGCCCCUGUGGCAAAGUUUAACAGAUUCCCAAGGCUCUCUGCAAAGGAUUUAACUGCACCAAAGUGCUUUGCCCUCAUCAAUCAGCAAACAGGCAUUCUGUGCAAACACAUGGGUGUACCCACACUUUGGAGUGAAGUUCAGAGUCCUUGUUUGGCUUUGAGGUGGCUGAUAUGUCACUACAGGCCUUGUUAGCUCCACUAACAAACAGUACAGCUGUGUUAGCCUGAUGCUAUUCCUCAGCUAAUGUGUCCCGUCUCACAGCAGAGCUGUCUAGGCUGGCUGCAGUUUAACUUGCCUGCCAUAGCUCUCUUCCUAGAGGAGCUCUAGCUGAUUAGGUUAUAUAUUCCCAAGUAUCUCUUGAACUAUGUGCACCCAUGAAUACACAUGUACCAAAGCAAGUAUAGCUUAUGCUCCUGUUUUUAACAGGGAUACUUUCUCAGAAAUAGUAAGUAUGAAUAUCUU